UACGGGGGGGGCAAGCGUUGUUCGGAAUUACUGGGCGUAAAGGGCCAGUAGGCGGCCAACUAAGUCGGAUGUGAAAUCCCCAGGCUUAACCUGGGAACUGCAUCCGAUACUGGAUGGCUUGAAUUCGGGAGAGGGAUGCAGAAUUCCAGGUGUAGCGGUGAAAUGCGUAGAUAUCUGGAGGAAUACCGGUGGCGAAGGCGGCAUCCUGGACCGACAUUGACGCUGAUGCGCGAAAGCCAGGGGAGCAAAGCGGG
rnacentral:rRNA from 1 species